GAAAGAUGGUUUCGGCUAUCGCUUACAGAUGGGCCCGCGGUGCAUUAGCUAGUUGGUAGGGUAAUGGCCUACCAAGGCAACGAUGCAUAGCCGACCUGAGAGGGUGAUCGGCCACACUGGGACUGAGACACGGCCCAGACUCCUACGGGAGGCAGCAGUAGGGAAUCUUCCGCAAUGGACGAAAGUCUGACGGAGCAACGCCGCGUGUAUGAAGAAGGUUUUCGGAUCGUAAAGUACUGUUGUUAGAGAAGAA
rnacentral:rRNA from 1 species